rnacentral:rRNA from 1 species
AUUGAACGCUGGCGACAUGCCUUACACAUGCAAGUCGAACGGUAACAGGUCUUCGGAUGCUGACGAGUGGCGAACGGGUGAGUAAUACAUCGGAACGUGCCUAGUAGUGGGGGAUAACUACUCGAAAGAGUGGCUAAUACCGCAUGAGAUCUACGGAUGAAAGCAGGGGAUCGCAAGACCUUGUGCUACUAGAGCGGCCGAUGGCAGAUUAGGUAGUUGGUGGGAUAAAAGCUUACCAAGCCGACGAUCUGUAGCUGGUCUGAGAGGACGAUCAGCCACACUGGGACGUAGACACGGCCCAGACUCCUACGGGAGGCAGCAGUGGGGAAGUUUGGACAAUGGGCGAAAGCCUGAUCCAGCAAUGCCGCGUGCAGGAUGAAGGCCUUCGGGUUGUAAACUGCUUUUGUACGGAACGAAAAGCCCCGGGUUAAUACCCUGGGGUCAUGACGGUACCGUAAGAAUAAGCACCGGCUAACUACGUGCCAGCCGCCGCCGUAA